GCGCAUGCGGGAAACCCACGCUGAGGGAAGAAUCAUGGGAAAGAGUAGAGACGGGGUUCCACCGUGUUAGCCAGGAUGGUCUCGAUUUCCUGACCUCGUCAUCCUCCCGCCUUGGCCUCCCAAAGUGCUGGGAUUACAGGCUUGAGCCACCGCGCCCCGCUCUUUCGUGUUCCAAAGGCUUUUUAAAUAAACUUCCACUCCUGUCCUGGAUUCUGCUUUAUGGCCCUCAGUCGAAUUCUUUCUUCUGAGGAGGCAAGGACUGAAGUUGCUUCUGACCAGUACAGGUACGCCGCAGGAGAAAACGAAUACAGCAGGGAUGACUUCCACCAGCUCCACUUUGCAGCUCUGAGGUGUAUUAAAAAUGACCUGGAAGAAGUCAUGCCACGGGCCAGACCUUAACAUUCCUUUCGGCUUACCCCAGGAUUUCAGACAAAGCUUCACUUUCCUAACCAGUCACAAAUCAGAGAAUUUUUGAUUCCACCUAUGACCUGUGAGCUCCUGCUUCAAGAUAUUCCACCUUUUUUAGGCCAAACCAAUGUAUAACCUCCAAGUGUCGAUUUACACUUUCGACUGUAACUUCUGCUUUCCUGAGAUUUACCCCUGCCUUUAAAAACCCUUGCUUGUAAUCCCUCAGGGAGGCCGUGUAUUUAUUAAUCAUGAGCUGCCCAAUUCUCCUUGCUUGGUGCCCUGCAAAUAAACACCCUCUUUUCUCCCACUGCAA
rnacentral:lncRNA from 1 species